CAUGAAUUUUACAAAUGAUAGUGGAUAUUUUUCAACAGCAUUAUUAUUGCAUCAAAAACUUUUCUUUAAAUUCAGUUCAGUUUAAUGAUUUGUAGUAUUAUUUUUAGAAAGCAUGUAAAUAUAGCAGAAAUGUUAAGUCAUGGCAUGAACCAGUGAUUGAGCACCUGCUGGGAAGGCAGGGCCAAUCCAGGAGAGCUCAGGUACAUGCAAUGAACUGAGUGACCAGAAGGGGGUGGAGUUGGUAGUGGAGGCGGCAGUAUCUUGCUGGAGAUUUUCUGAAGAUACUGAAAGGCCUCUAUUAGGUCUCUCCAGAGCCACCUCUUCUCCAGGCCAAACAGCCCCAGCUGAGAGAGCCUGUCCUCUUAGGGUUAGUGUUCCAUCCCUUGGACCAUCUGUGUGACCCUCCUCUGGAAGUGCUCCAAUAUGUCCAUGCCUCUUCUGUACAGAGGACUCCACAUCUGGACCCAGUAAUCCAGGGGCAGUCUUUUUCUGUGCACUGAAAAUAGGUUGUGGCAGAAGGCCAAAAUGGAUGAACAAGGGUAUCCUGGUGGAGCUCAAACACAGAAGAAAAUGCAAGGUGGAAUUCCCAGGAACAGUAACUGGGACCACAGAGAAACUGAACAGCAGAGCAAGUAAUAGAGCUGCAAAGGAUCCCAGUUUCCUUCUUGAACAAUAUGGAUUACCUUGGAUUCAAACGAAGACCUGUUCAGUGUUGAAGGCCAGAGACAGGAACAAGGCAUAGAGUAAUGCAGCAGCUCCCCAAAAUGAACGUGAUAAUUACUCUAGAUUGGAUUGAUCUGCAUUUACUAAUGCAAAAAAUGUAAUUCCCUGACUUUUCUGGGCAGUCUGUUUCCCCAAGUAAUGAAAAAAAUGUUAUAAUACUGCAAAGAAAGACCUUUUUAAAUAUUAUUUUUAUACACAUUCCAACAAAAUUGGCAGUAGUUGUUGGAGUAAUACACUAAUGUUCUAUCUUAAUCACUAUUUUUAAAGUUCUAAGCAUAGAUAAUCAUACCUUGUAAAGCCACAAUUAAUACAUAUAAUUAUUCAUAGUGGGUUUUUUUAAUAUACAUUUUUCAGUUUCCU
ensembl:lncRNA